CCGCAAGUCUUUCUGGAACAGGAAACAUCGACUAGGGCGUUUAAAACAGUUGACUAACAAGUCACAAUAUGUUUAGCUCUUUUAAGAGAUGUUUAUUUCUUUCUACCAUGGCUAUAAAAUGGGGAAUUCCAACUUCAGCCACGAUGGGUGACUACAGGAAAUGAAUAAGGCUGGAAAUAUUCGAUGUUUCUAUCUCAGAUGCAGAGAACUGGAGCACAGGGAAGUCAAAUGACUUGUCCAAGGUCACACAGGUAAUAAGCAACAAUGGAGUAAUGUGAAUACAAAUCCUCUCACUAAGAAGUACAUUGGCUGGGGAGGAACCUGAGAGACUGAGGCUGAACUUUUAAAAAAAACCUAAACUUUUGUAUUUUAAAAAUGAGACUUUGUUCCAACAUGAUUGAUUUAUUAGGGAACAUUUUGAUUU